UGGGGAAUAUUGCGCAAUGGGGGAAACCCUGACGCAGCGACGCCGCGUGCGGGAUUCAGGCCUUCGGGUUGUAAACCGCUUUUGAUUGGGAGCAAGCCUUUUGGGUGAGUGUACCUUUCGAAUAAGCGCCGGCUAACUACGUGCCAGCAGCCGCGGUAAUACGUAGGUCGCAAGCGUUAUCCGGAAUUAUUGGGCGUAAAGAGCUUGUAGGCGGUUCGUCGCGUCUGGUGUGAAAGCCCAUCGCUUAACGGUGGGUUUGCGCCGGGUACGGGCGGGCUAGAGUGCAGUAGGGGAGACUGGAAUUCCCGGUGUAACGGUGGAAUGUGUAGAUAUCGGGGAGAACACCAAUGGCGAAGGAAGGUCUCUGGGCUGUUACUGACGCUGAGAAGCGAAAGCGUGGGGAGCGAACAGG
rnacentral:rRNA from 1 species